CAGUUUCUGACAGUUUGUGCAGAAAUUCUUUGAUUAUGCAAACCGAUUUUUGCAGCAGCUGCGGAUGGCUUGUCUCAGACGGUCUAGGAGGUGAAGAUGCUGGAUGUGGAGGUCCUGGGCUGGUGUGGUCACACGUGGUCUGUGGUUGUGAGGCCGGUUGGAUGUACUGCCAAAUUCUCUGAAACACCUUUAGAGACGGCUUAUUGUAGAGAAAUGAACAUUCAGUUAACGGGCAACAGCAUUGGUGGACAUCCCUGCAGUUAGCAUGCCAAUUGCACGCUCCCUCAAACCUUGAGACAUCUGUGGCAUUGUGCGGUGUGAUAAAACUACACAUUUUAGAGUGGCUUUUUAUUGUGGCCAGUCUAAGGCACACCUGAUCAUGCUGUCUAAUCAGCAUCUUGAAAUGUCAC